rnacentral:rRNA from 1 species
GAUGAACGCUGGUGGCGUGCCUAACACAUGCAAGUCGAACGAAGCACCUUACCUGAUUCUUCGGAUGAAAGUUUGGUGACUGAGUGGCGGACGGGUGAGUAACGCGUGGGUAACCUGCCCUGUACAGGGGGAUAACAGCUGGAAACGGCUGCUAAUACCGCAUAAGCGCACGAGGAGACAUCUCCUUGUGUGAAAAACUCCGGUGGUACAGGAUGGGCCCGCGUCUGAUUAGCUGGUUGGCAGGGUAACGGCCUACCAAGGCAACGAUCAGUAGCCGGUCUGAGAGGAUGAACCGGCAAAAUGGAACCGAGACACGGUCCCAAACCCCACGGGAGGCCGGAGGUGGGAAUAUUGCACAAUGGGGGAAACCCUGAUGCAGCAACGCCGCGUGAGUGAAGAAGUAUUUCGGUAUGUAAAGCUCUAUCAGCAGGGAAGAUAAUGACGGUACCUGACUAAGAAGCUCCGGCUAAAUACGUG